rnacentral:tRNA from 1 species
GGUUUAUAAUUAAAGUAAAUUGCAAAUUUACUUGAGCUUAGAGCGUAAGCCU